AAGGGGAGCAAUCCCUGAGUAAAGUGGCGACCGGGUGAGUAACACGUGACUAACCUACCCUCGAGUGUGGAAUAACAUCGGGAAACCGAUGCUAAUACCGCAUAACAUCGCAAGAUCAAAGGAGCAAUCCGCUUGAGGAGGGGGUCGCGGCUGAUUAGCUAGUUGGCGGGGUAACGGCCCACCAAGGCGAAGAUCGGUAGCCGGCCUGAGAGGGCGCACGGCCACACUGGAACUGAAACACGGUCCAGACUCUUACGGGAGGCAGCAGUGGGGAAUUUUGCGCAAUGGGGGAAACCCUGACGCAGCAACGCCGCGUGGAGGAUGAAGCCCCUUGGG
rnacentral:rRNA from 1 species